rnacentral:sRNA from 1 species
GCCAGGUGCAGUGGCGCUCACCUGUAAUCCCAGCGGCUUGGGAGGCUGAGACAGUAGAAUCGUGAGUUCAAAGCCAGUCUCAGCAAUAGGCUAAGCAACUCAGUGAGACUCUGUCUCUA